CCUUCGUGGGGGAACCUGACCGCCUGCCGCGUGAGUGAUGAAGGCCUUCGGGUUGUAAAGCUCUUUUGUGUGGGAAGAUAAUGACUGUACCACAAGAAUAAGCCCCGGCUAACUUCGUGCCAGCAGCCGCGGUAAUACGAAGGGGGCUAGCGUUGUUCGGAAUUACUGGGCGUAAAGGGUGCGUAGGUGGUUAUGUAAGUCAGAAGUGAAAGCCCUGGGCUCAACCCGGGAAUUGCUUUUGAAACUAUGUAGCUAGAGUUCGAGAGAGGUAAGUGGAAUAUCCAGUGUAGAGGUAAAAUUCGUAGAUAUUGGAUGGAACACCGAUGGCGAAGGCGGCUUACUGGCUCUGUACUGACACUGAGGCACGAAA
rnacentral:rRNA from 1 species